UGGGGAAUCUUGCACAAUGGGCGAAAGCCUGAUGCAGCGACGCCGCGUGCGGGAUGAAGGCCUUCGGGUUGUAAACCGCUUUCAGCAGGGACGAGGCCUUAUGGUGACGGUACCUGCAGAAGAAGCUCCGGCUAAAUACGUGCCAGCAGCCGCGGUAAUACGUAUGGAGCAAGCGUUAUCCGGAUUCAUUGGGCGUAAAGCGCUCGUAGGCGGUCUGUUAGGUCGGCAAGUUAAAUCCGGGGGCUCAACCCCCGUCCGCUUCCGAUACCGGCAGACUUGAGUUUGGUAGGGGAAGGUGGAAUUCCUAGUGUAGCGGUGGAAUGCGCAGAUAUUAGGAAGAACACCGGUGGCGAAGGCGGCCUUCUGGGCCAUAACUGACGCUGAGGAGCGAAAGCUAGGGGAGCGAACAGG
rnacentral:rRNA from 1 species